AUGCCGCCGCCCCACCCCUCCACCCUCUUCCUCCUCCCCCUCCUCCUCCUCGCCGUCCACCUCCCGCCCGCCGCGGCCGCCGCCGCCGACAGCCGCCACGCGUCCACCGCCGCCACCUCCUCCUACCGCCGCAUCUCGUGGGCGAGCAACCUCACGCUCCUGGGCUCCGCCUCGAUCCUCCCGGGCGCGUUCGCCGUCGCGCUCACCACCAACUCCAGCGACGGCAUCGGCGCCGGCCGCGCCCUCUUCUCGGAGCCCGUGCGCUUCCUCCUCCCGCGCCCCGACCCGGGCGCCGCCCCGGCGCAGGCCUCCUUCUCCACCCGCUUCACCUUCCGCAUCACCCCGUCGCCCUCCUACGGCGACGGGAUCGCGUUCGUCCUCACCUCCUCGCGCACCUUCCUCGGGCCCUCCAACGGGUUCCUCGGCCUCUUCCCCUCCGCCUCCGCCUCCGACGACGACGGUGAGCCCGCCGACGUGCACACCGUCGCCGUCGAGCUCGACACGCACCGCGACGUGGCGCUGCGCGACCCCGAUGGCAACCACGUCGCGCUCGACGCGGGCUCCAUCUUCUCCGUCGCGUCCGCGAGCCCGGGCGUCGACCUCAAGGCCGGCGUGCCCAUCACCGCCUGGAUCGAGUACCGCGCGCCGCGCCGCCGCCUCCGCGCUUGGCUCUCCUACUCGUCGUCCCGCAAACCCGACAAGGCCGCGCUCUCCGUCGACGUCGACCUCUCCGGUCUCCUCCUCACGUACAUGUACGCCGGCUUCUCGGCGUCCAAUGGCGAAGGGGCCGCGCUUCACGUCGUCGAGAGCUGGGCCUUUCGCACCUUCGGCUUCCCCAACACCUCGCACGCCUCGGCUUCCCCAAUUCCUUCGCCACCGCCCAAGGACCAGGCGUCGCUCAAGAGCCCACUGCCGCUUCCAAAAGAUCACCACCACCACCAUAACCUAUUCUACACGGUGAUGGGCGGAGCUCUCGGUGGUGUGGUCUUGCUGGUUCUUGUGGUCAUCAGCUCUAUUCUAUUGAUUCGCCAUUCAAAGCGCCGCACAAGUGAAAAACCUGCUGUGCUGUUCGACGACAAGAACUUCCGUGGGAUGCUGUCCAUGGAGGUGGUACGCGCAGCAACAAAGGACUUCGGCAGUGAAAAUGUGAUCGGCAUUGGUGGCUCUGGCGCGGUUGUGUUUGAGGGGGUUCUCCCUUCUGGGUCAAGGGUUGCUGUCAAACGGUUCCAAGCUAUGUGGCCGUGCUCAAAGGCGUUUCUGAGUGAGCUUCGUGCCAUGCUUGAUUGCCCACACCACCCCAAUCUUGUGCCACUCUUGGGAUGGUGCUCCAGUGAGCAUGACCUGGUUCUUGUUUACGAGUUCAUGCCCAAUGGUAAUCUUGACAGUGCACUGCACACAAAGGGUGGAGCAAUACUUCCUUGGGAGGCACGGUUUGGGGCGGUGCUUGGUGUUGCAUCAGCACUUACAUUUCUGCAUGAUGAAUGUGAGCACCGCAUUCUUCAUCGUGAUGUCAAGUCAUCAAAUGUGCUGCUCGAUGCAGACUUCAAUGCUCGGUUAGGAGAUUUUGGUCUUGCUCGCGUGGUGAGCCAUGGCGGGGUGCCUUUGGCAACACAGCCAGCAGGCACACUGGGAUACCUCGCACCAGAGUAUGUGCAUUCAGGUGUGGCAUCAGAGCGCUCGGAUGUUUACAGCUUCGGGGUGCUUGCUUUGGAGGUGGCCACUGGCCGGAGACCAACGGAGAAGGGAACCGCAGUUGUUGACUGGGUGUGGAGUCUCUGGGGUCGUCGGAGGCUGGUUGAUGCAGCAGACCAGCAGCUUCAGGGACGUUUUGUCGCAGAGGAGAUGCGGCGGGUGCUGCUUGUGGGCCUCUGCUGUGUGCAUCCGGACUGUAGGAAGCGGCCUGGUAUGCGAAGGGUGGUCAGGAUGCUUGAUGGUAGUGCACCCAUGACACUAGUGCCAGAUAAGAAGCCACCAGUUGUACUGAAGUCACCACUAAAUCAAACAUCGUCAGUGAACACCAUGGAUACUAUGAAUACUGCAUUUUACAGCUGUCGCUAG
rnacentral:rRNA from 1 species